UACAGAGGGUGCAAGCGUUGUUCGGAAUUAUUGGGCGUAAAGGGCGCGUAGGCGGUGCGGUAAGUCUGUAGUGAAAUCUCUGGGCUCAACUCAGAGUCUGCUGCAGAAACUGCCGUGCUUGAGUGUGGGAGAGGUGAGUGGAAUUCCCGGUGUAGCGGUGAAAUGCGUAGAGAUCGGGAGGAACAUCUGUGGCGAAGGCGGCCAUCUGGACCAGCACUGACACUGAGGCACGAAAGCGUGGGGAGCAAACAGG
rnacentral:rRNA from 1 species